GUGUGUGUGUGUGGGUCGAUGUUCGACCAGGAGAGAAGGGAAAAGGGGUAAAACCCUAGAUCACCAAAAUCCAUCAAAUUGAAGGAGGAUUGAAGGGCUAAUCGAGUGCAUGAACCAGGAAUGUCGAUCAUUUAAGUGUUUCUACCAUCAUGAACGUGUCAAGGAGAGCUCAAGCAUAGGAGGAUAACGGGUCAAGAUAAGGCAAGGUGACAAAUACACUUAUUGGAGUACUCAAGGUAAGUGAUUUCUAUAAUCACUUCUUUAGUUGUUUAAGUAAUAUAAUGUUUUAAUUAUUAAGUUCUUAUGAAGUUGAGGUCAAAUCAAUAUAUUAUUUUGAUAAAUGCACGAAUGGGUCGAAUAAUUCAUAGAUGAAUAACAAGCCGAAUACGUAUAAGUUAAGAAAUUCCUUAACUCGGAUGUUGGACUUCAAGAUCACAUGAUAGAAUAUUAUAUUACAAUCAUAUAGGAAGAAACGUGACGCAAAACGGAUGAAAAAUGAGAGAGUUAUGUCCGUUUCGGUAAGGAUUAAUGGCUAGGAAUAGUGCAGAGUUGACACGGCCGGGUGGUGAACUGACACGGCCGGGUGAAGGUUCUGUCAAAAAUAUUAUUUAUGUGAUUUAUGCGCCGUAGGCUUCGGUAUAUUAUCCGUGAACUACGACGGGCCUCCCAAACAUGAUUUCGAGUGUUUCCUUGACGAUUAUAAGUUGUAAACCCAAGUCUAAGCCUCAUGUAAUUUAUAUAAGAGUGUGAUAGAUGUGUGUAAGUAUGUGCGAAUGCAUGAUUUGGAUGCAUUUGAGAAUUAGCGUUACUAAUAAUGCCCUUGGGUUUGGAAUAUAAGUUAGUUGGAUGUAUUUAAAUGGUUGACGUCCUUUUUAUGAAGAUGUAGUAAAUGAAUAUGUUGAGAUUACGGGUUUGGCUAACCAAGUUAUUAUUGAGCAUGUUUGAAAGUGCAGGUUAUGAAUGUCGGACUUUCGAAGUGUUGAUAUAAUAAUGAAACGGUUGAAUGUUGAAAGGAUAAUCGGAUUGAAGUAACUUAUGCGGUUAGAAUAUGCUAUGGACGUUUUAGUUUGUACAACAUUUUAUGUUUGGUCGUCAUCAUCUACCAACGGGUUAGUUGUUUGAAAAUAUAUGUCAUACCCAUUUAAUUGGGUAAUCGAAUGCGUGAGAGAAAUGAAAGUACAUACACGAAUGGAACUAAAGUGACGGUUUUAUAAGUAAAUAAGUAAAUGACUAACUUUUUAAAGCUUUGUUGUUGAAUGUAGGUAAAUCCUCAAUUCAGGCGACUUGGAGAAUGGGAGCGAGCGCGUGUUCAUGUUAUGUCAUACCAAACGCUUCCGCUAGCUUGUUCAAAUGUUUUUAGUCCAAAAUUUGUUGUUUUGGUUCUUAGUAGUAUUUUGUCGAAUGAAUCGUAGAAUUGUAUCUAGUUUGUUUAUGUUUAAAACAGGGGUAUUCUCGUUUUAUGGACGGGUCAUGCCCAAUUUUUGUUAAAUUAAUGCACCUGCGUUAUU
rnacentral:lncRNA from 1 species